rnacentral:rRNA from 1 species
GUAGGGAAUAUUGCACAAUGGGGGAAACCCUGAUGCAGCGACGCCGCGUGAGUGAUGAAGGCCUUCGGGUCGUAAAGCUCUGUCGUAUGGGACUAACAAAAUGAAGGUACCAUGCAAGAAAGGAUCGGCUAACUUCGUGCCAGCAGCCGCGGUAAGACGAGGGAUCCUAGCGUUGUUCGGAAUUAUUGGGCGUAAAGCGGGUGUAGGCGGGCCUGUCAGUCAGGUGUGAAAUCCCAGGGCUUAACCCUGGAAGUGCACUUGAUACUGCAGGUCUUGAGUGUGGUAGAGGCUAUUAGAAUUCUUGGUGUAGUGGUGAAAUACGUAGAUAUCAAGAGGAAUACCGGAGGCGAAGGCGGAUAGCUGGGCCAACACUGACGCUGAGACCCGAAAGCGUGGGGAUCAAACAGGAUUAGAAACCCCAGUAGUCC